UACGGAGGAUGCAAGCGUUAUCCGGAUUCAUUGGGUUUAAAGGGUGCGUAGGCGGAAUAAUAAGUCAGUGGUGAAAGCCUGCGGCUUAACCGUAGAAUUGCCAUUGAUACUGUUAUUCUUGAGUAUAGUUGAGGUGGGCGGAAUGUGUAAUGUAGCGGUGAAAUGCUUAGAUAUUACACAGAACACCAAUUGCGAAGGCAGCUCACUAAGCUGUUACUGACGCUGAGGCACGAAAGCGUGGGGAGCAAACAGG
rnacentral:rRNA from 1 species